UCAAAGCUGAGCUCAUAAAAAUCAAAAAUUGGUUAUUGUUUUAUGGAAAUUGUUUAAUCCUUUUAUGAUACAUAGCAAUUUCAAAAGUUAAAAUCACCCCUUUCAUUUGAUUGGCACUCCUGUCAUUGUUAGUCAUUUCCGUGGUCAUUUCCCUUGUUCGGUUAGUUUUGGCAGCCGGCUUCCCACUAAACCUGUGUCGGCAAAUCCCUUUUUUUCGUGUGCAGUGAUGUGUACAAAGUAAAGCACAGCCGCCAUUCAUUGCGUGACUACCGCCUUCGUCGGCAGGUCGGUCGGUCAUUCGGGUACUUGUCGUCUAGGCCGCCGUAGUAGGCGUUGCAACACCGAAAGUGUGUCUUAAAUUACAUCCACUAAAUUGGACCUUGCCGUACAUUUUCCUAGAUGAUUGACUCACUUUUCCGAAUGCCCUCACCGUAGGUUGUAGGCGUCCUCUCGAAAGGUUAGUGGAUGAAUAGGAAAUCUGACGCUUUUUGACGCUGUGAAUCCUGCCUUUUGGGUCGUGUGACUGGUCUCGAAUGUUAACUACUGGCCUGUGAUUGGUUUUGUUUGUUUUUCGACACAUUUGCGUGAGUCAUAUUCGUGGCGGUGGAGUGAACACAGGCGGUGCACUGUUGCGGCAACAUAGUAAGAACAACAAUCGCAUUCGUUGGAAACGUCAGACGCUCGCUAACCUGCAGAACAAUGACGAGUGGAUUUUCGGCAAUAUUCUGGCGGUUCUUCCACUGGGGUCCGCUGACGGCCAUUAGUGAGUAUUACUAUUUAUGUUUUCAUGGCCUACUGAGAUCCUCAGACAAAUACCAUUUCCCCACAUAUUUACCCAACUCAAAAUGACUCGCCCACUUCGAUGCCCCCAAAUCUUCACUGCAGGAAACCAAUUUCGGUAAUUAAUGUUUGCCCCGGUGUUGGUUGACUUCCGUCAACAGAGCCUAUGACCGUGGCCCGCCCUUCUCGGGGCGGGGUGCAAGGUUUCGGCUCCGUCCGGAAAAAUGUUUACCUCUCUCCUUGUGAACGCCACGCGACGGCAAAUAUUAUCACGGAUACUUUAUCGGUGAUUGCGACGUGUCGUGCUCGUUUAUGCUAAUCACUAACAUAGUGUUUUCACCGAAUCGCCUGGCGUGCUCUUACAAGCGAUUCUACACGCUGUAAUUUCAUUCUUUUGUACACUGAGAAAAAUAUAUCUCUUUUAUGUCUAUUGGGAACUUUCAAUAAUUGUCGACUUCGUAUAUGUUUAUAUAUCUGUAAGUUUCGAUUCUUGUUCUUAAGUUCUAAACCGAGAGGGAGAUUCACGUGAUUCCUAUAAAAAUGGAAACAUAAUCAUUUUUACUGAAAUUAAGAAUAGAUUUUUUUUCAGUGUACACAAAGGAUGUGUGUGCAUGUGAAAAUAUGUCGUGAAUUCUUUGGAAAGCUCUCCGUCUAUUUGUGCCAUGCCCAUGCCACUACUGACUGUGACGUGACAGGUGGGCUAUUCCUGUCGAAAGAGGCUCUUAGUUUCGUAUGAGUAAUGAUGAUUGCCACCUACUGGGGCGUGCGUUCUUGCCCAAUGGUGUUAGUUGAAAUUGCGAUGUGAUAUGAUGGCUAAAUAGGGCUGGGACAUGAACAUUAAGGACACAUGGGGGUGCGGAUGUAUGAACUGGGUCAUGACUAAUUAUAGCUAGUUUAAUGUAGGAAAUUAGGUCAUUUUUUAAUGAUAUUUCGACUUACCAAGUCAAUUAUAGAACUUUCUUUUUUUUAACACCAAUCUUUGACCAAAUUUUGGUUACCAAAGCGCUUAAUUUAUUGUUGUUCUUAAAAAAAAAUUGUGGUGGUUAGAACACAAGACUAUUACGCCGAGGACCUGGGAUCGAAUCCCACUACCGACAUACUCACAAAAUGUGGGCUCUUCCUUCGGAAGGGAAGUAAAGCGUGGGUCCCGAGAUGAACUAGCCUAGGGCUAAAAAUCUCGUUAAUACUCGUUAAUAAUAAAAAAUAAAUAAAUAAAUAAAUAGAAAUUCUUUUAGAAUAACAAUAUUCUGUCGGUCUUUAAGAAAUUGAGAGCUUCUGAAAAAUUUUACUAUGAAAAGAUGGAUCCUCAAAAUAUGUAAGUACUGUGGGACUAUGUUUUCUGGUUUAAACCAAGGAUUUAGGUAGGGCUUAUUCAAAUAACUCAGUAUUUUUAUUUGUAGAGUACCGUCGUUCGGGGUGACAUUGGGCCUAGAGGGCCUAGAGGGUCCAUCGAUCCCAUGGAUUCAAUAUAAGUCAGAGAAUCCGAUGGUGGAUGCAAAGUAUCUUAGAAUUAUGUAUUCUAGUAGUCUAGCACACAAUAUGCAUUCCCGUCGUAUUCUAAACGUGCGGAAUAGUGGCGCAAUGCCACCCCGCUUUGGCCCAAUGACACCCCGCACGACGGUAUAUAAAAGGAACCAAGUUGUGUAGCACGAUAGGGGCCAUUCUUGAACAACGUAAACCAAAUUUUGUUCAUCAGACUCCCAAGUGUAGACGACAGCUUUUAAGGAAUGCUAGAUCGCCAUUUUUUCCACCCAUACAUGAAAAAUAGUUUUGAGCUCUGUGCAAAACUAUUUACCACUACUGCUGCAAUGGAGGAUCUAGCAUACCUAAGACAACUGUCAUCUAUACUUGGAUCAGACUCCCCCCACUCUCUACUUUUACAUGAAAAAUUAUCCAUACAAAAAUUUAAAAAUUUGUAUGGAGCGUAGACUGGCCAAACUACAAUCAGGCGCUCAUCAGUUUAUUGUAAGGUGGAUCACGUCAAGCUGUUGAGCUAUUAACGAAAGAGAGCGGAAGCAAAAUUUUGAUAGCUGACAGGUAUCAGGGCUCUUGAAUAUCUGGUGUUAGCAGUGGCGUAGCCAGAAAUUUACUCUGGGAGGAGUUUCCAACGAUCGAUGAAACCUUUUUCAUUAUUUGACACUCACAUUCCGUAAACAACAAUCAAUAUUGAGGCAAUAUAUGUUUAAUUUUAGUCGCGGAGGUAAACUAGCGGCGCAGCCGAAAAUUUUUUCGACAGAAAGGGUUUGAUACUGAAAAUUUGUUCCACAAAUUUUGGGGGUGAACACCCUCUCGUGGCUACGUCAGUGGAUGUGAGUAAUCUUACAAAGUAUGACUGCUCUGACAUUCAUACACGCAACGGAAAUCUACGUGCUUCGGUAGAAAUCGAACCCACGGCUCUCAAUUUCCUAGACGGGCACUUCUUUCCUCCAAGCUACGGAGCCACUUGACCAUCUGUGUCCCCUGAAGGCACAAAACUGAACUAGAUUCCCUUAAUGCACAUGAUUUGUUCCUUUCAACAAUCCUAAUUAUCUUUGGAUGGAAUUAGAUAGAUAUCUACGAGAAAUUGACAUUUGUAGGGUGCUCAAGGUCACACUACCGUAAUAGGUCGGCCGAGGACCGACCCGUCGGGAUUCCGACGGUACACUAUUUGUCACACCGAUCAGUCAUUGGAUUGACAGUGCCCAAAACUCUCGACAAUUUUCGAAAAUAAAGGUGUCACUUACACCUCUUUGUAUCUGCGUAUCUGGGCCCCUCAAUUACAAAUCUGCCUGAAAUUAAUCUUCGAAUUGCUAGAAUUCCAUAGACAUUCUAUGACAAAUGUUUAAAUGAUUUCAAAAUAAUUCUCCACGAAAUUCACCAGAACUAAUAUAUAAAAUCUACUAAGAAUAUAAGUAAUAGCAAUUUAUGUGGAAAAUUCUAAAUACACCGAUAUUACCAAAGUUUUUUUUUGCACAUUUUUUUAUUUUUUGAAAUAACACUUGUACAAUAUUGCGCGAGAUUCUUCAAAGUUUAUCCUUAAAAAUCCUUUUCCAAGCUUCUCGUCGUAAAAUUUAACCAGUAAUCCUGCGAAGUUCUGGCAUUAUUCUCAAUUUUCAACAAUGAACCAAAACCAAAACAGUUUUGUUCAGAGUUUCCCAUUGCUCAUGUGUACAUAAAUGUGACAGCGAGCCUCCCACCGAAUUGUCUCCCAGCUCUUCAAAAUCGUAGUGUGCUGCGCUGCUAGGAGGCUCACGAAAAUCUGGUAGGUGCGAGCUAGGCUCAUAGCUCCCGGGGAGCUCGUCUCAUGUGCUGCGUGAGCUGUUGGUAUCUAAGGUGAAAAACAACUUCUUGGUAACGAAGAACCCCAACAACUUUUUUCCGUACACAACUCAAGUGUCUGGUUGGUCUAUGCGAUACGACUAGGGACUCUCAAUGCAAAGGUUAAGGUUUCAAUUCUCGUUCGUUUAGGAAGUUUUUGUCGUGAAAUUUUCUAAUUUAAUCAGCACAUGAGACGAAUCUCAUGAGACACAUCUUGAGAAAAAUGAGGCGCACAAGUUUCCGUCUCAAAAUGUACAGUGCUCCUGGGAGCUCGCUUGCAAUGUGGCUCCUGUACAUGGGAUUACAGCACGUGUACAUCAACUCUGGUUUUGUUUGAUUAGAAUAUUUAACGAUGUUCUUAGAAGAAAGUCUAGUUUGUUCUUCUACGAGCUUCUGUAAAUAUCUGUCCAACUAAUUUUGUAAUAUUUAUUGAAUCAUCCCUCGUCGGGUUUUGAGCUGUCAAACAGUUGCCCAGCUGUCAAAAUAUGAUUAAAAAUCGCUUCGAAAUGAUUUUUAGUAUCAAAAUAUGGUCUUAAAAUCUGAAAACAAUCAUAGUGGCUUAGAAGAAAGUGCUCUGUCGUAUACAGUUUAAAAAUUAAUAUACAGUCAGGUCUUUUUUUACGCGGUUUUCAUUUACGCGGCCGCGUAAAUGAAAACUCCAUAUAAAAAAAAUUUCAUCGUCUUAUUUUUGCAUGAUUCGUCGAGAAAUGGUGAGACUUUUUUUUACGCGGUUUUGCGAAUUUUGAACUGAGUUUUUUUUACGCGGUACGUAUCCCCUGCGUAAAAAAAACCUGACUGUAUUAUAAAAUUACCCAUAUUUUUCUUAUUUUUCUUCUUGGCGUAAGGGCCCAACUACAACAAAACCCAUUGGCGUAUCUAGCUUUUUCUUUUUUCCUACUCUCUCUCCUGAAUAAACAAGAUAAAGUUAAGGAUCCUGAGCAGGAACGAAUAAUCAACACAUAACUGCAGCAUACCAAAGUCAGGUAUUAUACUAAGACAAGAUAUUGGUCCGUUACCCAGGUUUUGAAAAUAAUUUAUUUUGAUAUUUUGUGUACCUUAACGAGUUAUUGGUUUGGUGUUAAGGACUGCUUGAGGUAUUAUUCAAUUAUGGGAAAAUCAUUAUUUUAUGGAAAAAUCGCCAAUUUUUAUUUAGGUGUUGUCAUACCUGAUGUAAUUAUUCUGUUGGUAAAAGUUAUUGAUUUAUCACCGAUUAGUGAUCCAACGGCUUUUUGUUUUGUUUUAUUAGCAGCACUGUAGCUGCUGUCUUGGCUGCUGUUGUUUCUGGGAAGUGGUGA